GACGAACGCUGGCGGCGUGCCUAAUACAUGCAAGUAGAACGCUGAAGAGAGGAGCUUGCUCUUCUUGGAUGAGUUGCGAACGGGUGAGUAACGCGUAGGUAACCUGCCUUGUAGCGGGGGAUAACUAUUGGAAACGAUAGCUAAUACCGCAUAACAAUGGAUGACACAUGUCAUUUAUUUGAAAGGGGCAAUUGCUCCACUACAAGAUGGACCUGCGUUGUAUUAGCUAGUAGGUGAGGUAAUGGCUCACCUAGGCGACGAUACAUAGCCGACCUGAGAGGGUGAUCGGCCACACUGGGACUGAGACACGGCCCAGACUCCUACGGGAGGCAGCAGUAGGGAAUCUUCGGCAAUAGGGGCAACCCUGACCGAGCAACGCCGCGUGAGUGAAGAAGGUUUUCGGAUCGUAAAGCUCUGUUGUAAGUCAAGAACGGGUGUGAGAGUGGAAAGUUCACACUGUGACGGUAGCUUACCAGAAAGGGACGGCUAACUACGUG
rnacentral:rRNA from 1 species